rnacentral:lncRNA from 1 species
AUAAAACGAAUAUUCAUUGACAGACUGUUAACUUCAUAUAAUUUGCACAUAACACACAUAACUAUAACAUUUAUUAAAUCAACACCUUACUAUUUAAAAUAACAUUUUAAAAUUUUUUUAAGUCAUAUUCAUAAAAAAUUUGGGUCUUAUAACCUCCACUUUUUAUGAAAUUUCGUCCCCAAGAUUAACGUACCUGGUAGUUUAAAGAUGUGAGGAUACCUUGCCCUCAUUUCAGAUUCUAACUCCCAGGUCAUUUCUUCUGUAUCAUGAUUUCUCUAUAAAAAUUUAACUUCAGGUAUAACCUUUGAGCGUAGAAUUUGCUGGUCAAAGCUUUUUACUAAACAGACAGAGUCUAUACAUUGUUUUUUGUCACAGUAAUUUUUUUUACUUAAAUACUUCUUGGAAAAGGAAUACAUAGUGAUAAGUAUGGCCCCCUUUCUUAAUUGUUCUUAUGUGCAUUUACUAAUGUAAUCCUUUCCGUGUGUAUCUUCUUUAGUUAGUAAAUCUCCAUAUUUUCAUACCAUUUAUUAAAACUGACAUCAAUGAUUAUUUACAUAUCUAUAUAUAGACAUUUCUAAUACAUAAUGCAGUCAUUUUUUAGUUUCACUCUGUCUUAUUUGUUGCAUAUUUCUAUCUUCUGUGUCUACCAGGGACCCUAUCUAUUCUUCCAAAAGAAAAAGACUUGCAUUACAUUCUGAUAAAAAUCCUUCAAGUUGUGUACCUCAACUAGUCACACCUUCUGCACAAGUUAAAUAUCGUUUAAUGAAAUAUAUGUCGAUGUUGGGAUUUUUAUUUGUCCCUUUUUGUUCUUGUCUUUUGGUGUUCUUAUUUUAGGUGAGAUUUGUUUGAAAAAAACAAUUUUAAAAAGGUUCGACAUGUAUAUGUCGACGAUUUGACUAUUAGAGUCGCCAAUUGGUAAUUUUAAAUGGUUGCACCAACUCAACCGAUGAAAGGUUUGCACAAAGACCCAAUGUUUGACACUGUUUAACUGGUCUGAGAAAUCGAGAUUCGUUAGGGUCCGGGGGCUUGAUUAAGCGGAGGGAAGGUGUUAGGCACCCCCCGACUUCCGUGGUAACACGGUUACCGCCACUUUUCAUUAACUUUUAUCUGCGUAUGUGUGUGUAGGGCAUAUAUGCAGUUGUCUGGAAGUAGUGCUAUGCCUCGUUUGUACCUAUAUACAAAGGGUUUGACUUUUUUAUAAAAGUUCAAUUUUAACAAGAUAUAGCAAUGAAGUUUUAGAAAAUAGGUUUUCAAACCCUUAUGCUCAAUAGUAAUUGAGGCCUUUGAUACUUCCAUUUUAUUAUGUGUUCAGCUUGAUUGCUUUUAUUUUUGAGAUGCGAGGCAUCUUCAAGAAAAUAAGAUACAUAGCAGUGCCGAACUCCUUGUGGGAAUAAGAGAUAUCUAAGGAUAUUC